CACUGUUCUCAACUCCCCCCCACGCUGUGUGUCACCACUGCUGGGAAGGAAGAAAAAUGCUCCGGCACACGAGAGCGAAAGGAGAAAACGGUGAAAAGAGUCAAAGGGAGAAGACGGUGAAGACUGGAGUGUGCUCGGAGCACAGCGAUGCCUCCAUCUGCUAUGAGCCACACUCUUCUUUGAUGGAAUAUCCCGGACAGCGGAGGGCAGAAGGAGGGAGAAGAAAAAGAAGGAGAAGAAGAAGAAUAACAGGACUGAGAAGACGGGACGGCCAGCGCUCGCCUCAGGAGGCUCCAUCCAAGCUCAUUGUCCUCUCAAACGCGCACACACCUCGCCACUGAGAGUGUUGCGUACACGUGCGUGCAUGAGGACGGGGGUGUGUGUGCGGCCGGUCUUUCUACGCAGCAGCGCAGCCCGGCACCAGCUUUCACUCUGAGGUUCACGUAGAUGCGGUGCAUCAGAUAGGACAUGCCCUUCACCUGCGCCUGCUUCUGUGGCCUUAAUGGCUUCUGCCGCAGACGGAGGAAGAAGAAAAGUGAUCAAGUGGAGGAUGAGGAGUGUGAAGAGGUAGAGCAAUGGAGGGAUCAGGAGACACAGGUGUGACAGCAUUGCUGUCAGCCCAGCUGUCUUCACCUUUUCUGUGGGAUUUAUCCCUAAUGGACCGAAAUGUGUGGCCUGGGUUAUCACUGCUCAGUACAGCCUCCACUGUCUGGUAUGCUGCCUGGAGACAUUAUAACAGAGAUGGUAAAGGGGGUUCAACGAGCACAGGCUUUUAUUUAAAGUUUAAAAAAAAGAAAGAAAAGGUGCUUUCGAAUCAGGUACUGUAUUUUUCCCAGAGUAUCGGUGACUAACACUUCUUCUUUUGUACUUUUUAACCUGGCUAAACUCAACAAGCACAAGGCUGUCUUGAGCCACGCUCUUCAAGUUGAAAAUAAAAGCCUGCGAACUCCUCGCUCAUGCCCAUUACACAUCCCUGCAGCACUCUCAUUUCUCCCUUGGCAGCUGACUGAGAACUUUGCUUUUGCUGAUGUGAUUCCAAAAAAAGAGAAAAAAAAUCGUAUCUGUUUGAUUAAUUUCUUGCCAUAGCUGGCGUUCCUCACAAGGUGCGAAGAGGCGAUGGACUCUAGAAAUCCAUUAUUUUUCUGAGUCGCACUCCUCACCGCUCCUCCGUGGGGGCUGAAUUAGAGCCAAAGCUCGACGGAGCUCUGCACCUCCUCACCUACCUGCUUAUGUCAGAUCAACUUAGUGAAAACUUCAGCUGAGUGAGAAAGUGUGCAGUAAUUUCCAGAGUCACCCAUGGAGGGCCGGAGCCCAUCUCGGCUUUUCACGCUGCGCUGGGCUCCAUCUAAAGCCAAGCAGCUGUCCAAUCAGCAGCUUAGCUGGAGUGUGAAGAUAGGAGUCAGGGGUCAGAGUGAGCAGCGGAGUUUGGGAGAAGUCCUUCCGCUUACGGCGUAGCAUCUCUGUCUCAUUAACAGGCAGACGAGUAAUUACAAACACACGCACACAUGGAUGCAGACCCAUCAAUUAAUGUCCCCCAUUGGGAGAGGAGUGUCUGUCCGUAAAUGCCGUUGCAGUGCUCUUCCAGCUGUCACCUGUUUGAGUGUAGGACUCUGCGAGUGUUGUGUGUGUGUCUGUGCUUCUUCUUGGCUGCAACAAUAGCUUUUCAAAGCUGAAACAAGUGGUUAAGAUAUCUGCUCAGCCACUACAGUACAGCCUUUCCAGAAUGCACAUGGAGACGCAAAGACAAAAGACACACACACACACACACAGGUCUCAUUAGCAUGUGUGAUUAUGCAUGGCACGUCCAGUCAGGCAGUGGAGAUGUAAUUAACCUUUUCCAGCAGGAAACAGAUGCCUGGAUGUCACACACAAACACACAUGCUAUGGCACACAUACACACACACUGACACACACACACGUCUGCUGUCAGGGAAACAAAGCCAACGUCAUGGUGUCACGGAAACAAAGCCCCAAAAGCGCCGCCUGGCACUCUGUGAUAAUCCCCUCACGCAUAUUUACAUUCAGGGCUUAGAAUACGCCUCAGUGCCGCCGUCUCCACCCCCUGCUGCACGCUGUUUCGCCCCCCUCCCCAACUUCUUCGCUGCCAUCCUCUCUCCCCUCUCCAAUCUACCUUCGGGCCUUCCACCUCAUUCGCCCGAAGUCCUCUUGCUAUCUCUCCCUCUGCUCCAUCUUUCAAUCGUCGUGUCCCGAAACUCUCUCCUUGCUCGGAUUCAUCUGUUUAUUAUCGGUGGAUAGUACAUGGCCUUGCAUGGCAGCUCCCAUAGAUUAGCCCCCCACCCCUCUCUCUUUCUCUGUCUGCGAAUAUCAGGGAUUCCUUCAGGCGGGCAAAAAGCUGCUUUACGACAGAUUAAUGGACGGCCCUGAUUGUGUCUGUUGGUGUGUGUCUACGCCUGCAUGGAAUAGAUUGUCUGUUUACUCAUUCUCCUGCUACAAGCGGCGAAAUGAGACAAAGCUAAAGCCAUUUCACAGUGUAGAGCACCUAUUAUGAUUCACUGUGUUACGACGCAGCCCUAAUGAGAAAGAGAGAGAAUGAGAGGAGGGACGAUAGCGGAGGAAGAGAGAGAAAGACGGUAAUGAGAGCACGAGCUGGAUGCGUGUGUGUGUGGAGGGGGGGCUAAUGCUAGACAGAGCAGUCAUGCUAAUUGGCUACAGUGGAUAACUUUCUGAGGUGGGGCAUGAGAGUGUGUGCGUGUGGGGGGGAGGCAGCGAAAAGAACAGCCUGAUCUGUCGGCGUUGCACUCGUUUAACUCCCUCCAUUUCACCUCUUUAAUGAGAGGAAUAUUCGCUCCAGUAAUGGAGAAAGACUUUAAAUUGGUAACGAUUUGUUGCUCACACACACACACACACACACACACACACACACACACACACACACACACACACACACACACAUGCACAGAGGUGGUACGAUGUGGUGGUGGGGCAAGUGAGGAUGGGGUGGGGGUAGGGCUGGAGGGUGAAUUGGCACUGGCAACGGUGUGUGUGUGUGUGCGAGCAUGUUCUCCCUCAAGCACCACAACCCCUUUAUGGAUCAUGGCAAUUUUCGGGGAUUGUAACUCAAGGACAAACAGCUAAAAAUAGAGGGGUGGUGCAUGACUCCUGCGAGAGCGGCGAGGGGGAGGGCGGGUUGUGGGAGGAGGUGAGCGCACGGGGACGGCGAAAACGAGUCCUGUCGCAUUAGAUUUGGGUCAGAAACGAGGGAAGAGCCGGCGAAGCGGAGAGUGUUACAGACGGCUGGAAGAUUCAUCACUUGCUGCUCCCUGUACGUCUCACGCGUCUCCUUCAACACCUUGCUGCCCCUCCUCUCUGCUCCCACACAUCAUGCGCACACCUGCAGGAGAUGGAGAGGGGAGGGCGCCGGGAACAAGGACGCCCAGAGAAAGGGUGAGAAAUUGGUGAGAAAAGACGGUAAACCACCGGAAAGACAAAGAUGUAAUAUCAGGGCAGAAAAGGCAAAUUUGAAAUGUGGCAAAAAAAGAGAGUGAACUUCAGUUAGGUUAGAUAUAAUAUUAAUAUAUGUCAUCCGAUUCAAAGGCCCUUUGCUGCAUAAUGAGGUCAUACAUAAAUUCAAAUGGUGGAUGAUACUAGUAGGGAAUGAACUCUAAUGAAAGGGACUUACUUCUGAAUUGCAUCAGAAGCUCUGUUCCCCCAGCUUAAAGGAGAAGCUUCACACAGUAGGCUUAUUUGCUCCUGUGUCAAAAUGGCUAAUCUUCUGUCUGCACGUUUAAUUGUUAGCAAAAGGAAAAGGGCAGACUGAAGUCUUUACACGAAAGUGUCAUUUCCCAAAUGUCGGACUUCUGCUUUAUUCUGAAGGGGAGCGAGUUAAUCUACCUAACCCCAUGUAACCCAACGAUAGUUCCCUGUGAAUUUAAAAUGAGACUUCUGAACCACAUUAUUUAAGAUCCAUUUGAAAACACGAAUCACCAAAAAUCGACCGCUCCAAAGAUAUUUUCAUUGUUGGGCAUUUGGAUACAACCCAAGAUUUGUCUUAGUUGGUUUGCGACUACUUACAAAUCAUGAGUAGUUGCAGUGUCACGUAUAUACUGUAUAUAUAUAUAUAUUGCAGAUAUAGUCCAAACAUAUGUGUCCGCAUUUCCAGCAGCUUAAGGAAAUGACAUGAUGUUGCAGAUGUUACAGGAGUUUGUGGUGGGGUUAGCUGUACAGCAUGAUUAUUAUAGCAGGGUUAGCAAACUCAACCACAGACUUUAUAUAAAAGAUGGAUAUCACCAAUUUGACUCUGUAUUUGAAACCUCAGAUUAAAUUAUUCAUAGAGACCAAAACAUUCUUUUCACUAUCCCAGGCUGUAAAUGUGCUAAUUUCAUGGCAAAAAUUGGCCAUCUAAAUAUUUCUGUAGUUACUGACUUACCCUCAAGUGGCCAAUAUAGGAACUGCAAUUUCUGCACCACAGGUUGACCGUUGUAGUAGAAGUUCUUAUUCUGGUUCAGACAAGUCAUGAUCAACACGAGCUGAUGGAUCAAAUCUAUUUGCAAGUGAUGUAUAAAUCAAAGAAGACCUUUGUAGACCCCAGACAAAUGACAGUAUUGCUGGCACUAACAUAAAGUUGUGUGGUAUUCAGGGAAAACCAGUGAAACUAGCUCACAUGGUUGCACCACAGUUGCAAGCUGUUCAGUCAGAUGGGUGUUCUAGUAGCCUGGUAUUGUAGAUGAAUGCAUUAUACCUGCAAUAUGCCACAAUUUGAUUCUGGCCACCAGCCUAUGUGUCACUGUCAAAUAAAAGGCAAAAUUUCAAAAGAAUAAUCUCAAUAAAAAAUUACGCAGUAAGCGUGCACAUACACUUAGGUGGCAGACCCGAUCUCUCUGUGCAAACAUCCCCACAUGCAGAUAGACACACACAUCACACACGCACAUAUACCCUACCAUUCAUCACACUGUUGUCCCACCAUUGCUUCUGCUUCUCUCACCCACAUCUGUUGUGUUGUUCCUAAUGAAGAGAAAAGUGAUGGUCCCACUAAGGCUAAUUAGGAGAAAUGAGAUGCGCAGUGAUGAUAGACUGGUGAUAGUCAAGAGGGAAGUGCUAACGCCGGCCGAUUAGAGCUCCCACCGGCUCUGGAGUAUCAGAGGAGUGGAGCGGGAAAAAUGGGGGAUAAAAACAAGCAGUGGAAGGAGAAGGAGGGAGAGAUAUAUAGCGUAAUUGAGACUGUAAUGGGUUUUGUCAGGAGCACCUGUCAGGGUCAAGUUAAAAUGGCUUCGGUGAGAGAGGAAGAGAGGGAUGAGAGGAUGGGAGAGCGGAGAAGGGGCCAAUUGGAGUCAGGAUCCUGGUGAGGAGAGGCCCUCGUCCAUGCCAACCUCACCUGAUUGCCAAUUUGUGCCAGUCUUCAGGCAUCAAACACAAUAUGAGCCACAGUGAGACACACAAACACCUCUGAUUGGAGAGUGGUAACCAGCUAAAAGCACCCAUGCACACUCAAUCACACAGACGGGCGCAAACUCACACUGACAGCCCACCUACGCCUGUUGAUUGGGCACAUCUAGCCUCUUAACAAGGUGUCCACGGUGCAGACCCAGGCGUGUGAUUGAAAGAUAAAACUGUCGCCAUUAAAUAUCUAAUUCUCCCCCACGUCUCCAUGAAAAUAAGGCGCGGUGCUGAUUAGAUUGCAGCCUGCUGUGCCAACCUCAGGUCUGCGCCUUGGUCAUUACCAGCCCCCCCAACUCCACCAGGCCCAACCAGUCCUUGAGUUGCCAACCACACAUGUGCUCCUCGUGAUAGAAGAGCAAUUCUGACACCCUCGAGAGCUGAGGUCGAUGCCUGAGGAGUUAUGAAAUUAAGUUGAGUAAAAAUGUAUUUAUAAAUCACUACUAAAGCUGCACCUGGCAAUUUAGCAUGCUGCCAGACCCAAAUGGCUGCACUGCAUAACUGAAAAUGUAAGACUUUACAGAAAAAUUCUGUUAGGGUGGCGUCAGUGACUGCCUGACUCAUGGGCCAGGGUAGUGGAGGUGCUGUAGAGGACGAGAUCCAUCAUCCUGGGGAUAAAGUCCUCGCUGCUGCUGUUUAUGGAUUUGCCUUUUCAAUUUUUUUUUUCAACAUUUUUUGUACUAGCAAACAUUUUGAUGCUGCAUGCCACAUUUGAAGUGAAAGGUGGAGACUAUGCCUGGUGCCUCAGUCAGAUAUAUCGGCUCUCAGUGACAUCAUACAGAGCCAAGAGCAGAAAAACCAGUCUCAAACCUAGUGCUCACAGAAGUGUGAAUCUUGACCUUUGGCUGUCUGCAUUUAAAACGUCUAAGAACAGAAAAUAACUGAAACGUAGUCUUAUUUAAGAGUCUGAGGUGACAACCUGUUUGUUAUUAGAUAGAAUGUAACCUUCCACCAGGUUCCUGAAACUCCUGAGUGGCUUAUUAAUAGAUGUGCUGCACUGUUUUUAAAAUGUAGUAUUUGCAAAUGUACUUGUUUUUUCAAAUCCUCAAAUUAGAAAUUCAUUCAUUUCCCAGCAGUGUUAUAGUUUGUUCACAGUUGCUGAAAAAUUUCCAUAAAUAUUCAGUGAUGGUUUGAAGAAAAUGUUGUGUUGGGUAAAUUAACACCACAAAGAAUCGUCCAAAAAUCACAACAAAGAAUAUUUUUUUUAAAUCAUGAAAACAGAAAUAUGGCUUUCACCACACAGCGAUGUUAACAUUUGUGAAUACUAUUUACAGAUAAUAGAUGUGAAUUUGAGCUUAGGAAGAAGUGGAGGAAGCCAUGCAAGAUAGCGGACCCUGCGUCGCGGGAUAUAAACCGCUAGGAAGAAGAAGAUGUGAAUUUGAGCUAAAGGGUAAUUGACAAAAGGCAGAGUAAAGAAAAGAAGCAGAAAAUGUUAAGGCCUACAAUUCCCAUCAUGCAACUCAAGAGAAAUAGCAGAUAAAAGUCCCUAAAGAGCCCCAGUAAAUAUAGCUGAGUUCAUACAUUGAGAGAUGUGAUAAGUAAUUACGAAAAAGAAAAUAUGUAUAAUUAAAGAAAUCCGGGGUGGGUAAAAUGCGAGGGCUUUGACUCCUGACAUUAGAGUUUCUGGCUACGGCCCUGGUGCUCAUCUACACAAACCCCAUAAUUGUCCCUUUGUGCUGCAUGAUUUGCCUUAAACAUAAACCAACAGCCCGAUUUUUUUGUACUAACUUUUUUAGUUUGUUGAUUGUAAGCUGGAGUAAAAUCCUCAAGGUCCGCUUGCUAUAUUUUGCAAGUACAAAUACAGCAUCAAAGCGUCAGGAAAAUGAACUCUUUGGACUCUUCUCCCUUGUGUAUCUCCUCAGCCUUCACCGCUAACUGGAGAAAUGAAAAAAUAUCUUGAAGCGGAGGCUUUCGGUGUAUUUACUCUUCCUCACAAAUUAGCAAGAUACUCCGCCACUUCAGUUGCCUUAUUUUUCGACCGGGUGGGGGUGAGGGUGGCGGGAGGCUCCGUUUAUUGGAACAUUUGCUGCUAACGCUGGAGAUGUGAGAUUAUUUUGUAUACUUCACUGCACCAGCAGCUUCACUGGGGAGCUCACUUUGCAGAAUAUAACCUGGUUCACUGGCACAAUUUAGGCUUCGGAGCAGUUUAGCUUAAUGGUCUUUAAGUGUCAGAAUUUAGUAAGGGUAAUGAGAAAUUUUCUUUAAAGAGCAGCCUCAGCAGCAGCCCUGCCAACAAAAUAUCAAAUUGAUGUCUAUUUGAGAUGCUGGAAAUACCCCAGGGCCUUCAGUUUUAGUGGGCUGAAGGUUAAAGGAGAUGCACAGCGAGAUGGUCGCUUUUUCCCACCAUCACCUUUAACGGACUCUUCCAUAAGUCUCCACAACUGAUUCAGUUGCUUCAGGCUGUCUGCUCUCUUACACGUGCCAUUUUCCACACAUCCCCUGUUUUAUACUUUUGUGUUAUUGAGCUGUGUUUUCAAGCGUACAGAGGAAAACUUUUCUAAUUGGCAGGCGGAGGAGGUGGGGGGGCUGUAAAUAAGGUCAGGCAUCCCACAUAUCUGAUGCCAAAUCACCAUCAUCAAUGGGAGAUAAAUCAAUCCCUCGCUGCUUUUUCCUCUUCAUCCCGCCCCGCCUCCCAUUCUCUCUCAAACUCCCUCUCUCCUUCGCGCACAUAAGCACUCCCACCGAGGCCGAUCGAUACCGGAGCGGGUAUUGAGCAGUGGCUGUGGUCCAAAUGAGAGUUUGAUUUCUCGUGGGGGGUGUUAGCCCCUGUAACCAUGGUGUUGAGUCCCCAUCGGGGACCUCUUCGCCAAACGCUCGUUGAUGAAGUGCGCGUGAGAGCAGCGAGCGUGCGCUUUAAACACCUUUUGAUUUAGCUGCGCUCGAGAACAAUACUUUUCAUUAGCGGCUGAUAGCAUUCAUUAAGAGCAAUUCAGCAUGGCCGCUAAUGAGCUGAUCUGCUCUUGAACACUUCAUCCUCCUUGAAAAACAAUCAAGCGCGAGAGAAACUUGCCCUGACUGGAAAACCAGAGUUCAUCACAGCUCCAAAUCAGUGACGAAUAGCCGGUUGAUUCUUUGGUUGGGAAGCUCUAGCUUUGAGCUCCUGAUUGCAAAUCCACCCGUUGGAGCCUAUUCAUUUACUAAUCUGGCGAUACAGUUUGUCUAAACUGACACAAAGCCUGUGCCUUCAGUCCAGUACGCGGCCAGAGCAAUCGCAGAAUCCGUCCGUCAGCCGCUUCUUUGCCCGCGGGAGCCUCAGUUGUCUUUGACAGGAAUUCGUUUGUAGCACCUUACAAAUUCUUUCACCCCCGUCAGAUUUCUCUGCCCUCUGUCUCCUAACAACACGUGGAGCAGCCUGUUUGUCUGAGGGUGAGCAAUGCUAUCUGCUUCUUUCUUAUAUUAUUCAUAUCCCAGUGCCUUUGCAGCGGAAAAACAAGCAAGGCAGAGAGAGGAGAGAAAAGAUGGGGAAGGGACCUUUGACAGAGCAGCUCUGAUGAAGAGCGCGACAUAGUGAGAUACAUAAACAUGAGGUCAGAGAGUGCUGCGGCGAGAGACGGAGGAGGGAGGAAAAAAGCCGAGAGAACGAACGAGUACAAGGGAAAAGCAGCUGAGAGGCAGCGCACAGCUUCAGAAAGGUUGUCCGUCAUUGACGGAAAUCCACCAAUCAAUGCUUUGGCACAACACACACAUUAACCUGUGAUGAAGGGUGUGUGUGUGUGUGUGAUGGAGGAGAGAGUGUGCUACUGGUUUGAAAUGCAGAACACGUCAAGAGUCCUAGGGAGCUCCUUUUGCAGCAAAGCCUCAUUAAAGAGACACUUGCCUUAAAGCAAGGAUAUACUGCCAGACCACACACACACACACACGCAGGCAGACUCACUCAGGCUAACAGAAAGGGACACACACACAGGAGCAGCUCCGGACAAAAUCGAACCCGAGUGCAGAGAUAAAUGUAGACGGGUAAAUGCGGCGCUCUAAUCCCUUUCCCCAUUUCCUCUCCUUGUUCUCCAUUUGAAUAAAGUUUCAUUUAACACCCCCCACCCAACAAUCUCACACUAAUAUUAUAUUCAUGUAUAUUUGAUUGUGUCAACUCUGUGGAGAUUGGCUACGCUGUAUCUUGUGUGCCUUUUUAAAAAUGCAUCGAUGAAUAAAUAAUGUCUGUAUUCGCUGAUUGAAAAAGCCAUAUUGCCAGGAAGCCAUGAUGAAAUGAUAAUGUAAUAUCUGUCCCUGUGCCGAAUAAAGUCAAGCCAUCCCUGCACCCCCUCUUUUUUUCUUAAUUCUCUCAGUAAAUGAAACCUGAAGCUCUGCAACUGCACCUUACACUGCCUGAUGACAUUCUGCUGUAUGGUUUGCACUGCUGCACUAAGUAUGUUUUAAUAAAGACGAAGCUUCUUUCUGUA